rnacentral:lncRNA from 1 species
ACCAAUCGAAGUGACCAUCUAGCAAUGGUACCCGACGAUCGAAUAGGUCGAAUGUGUAGAACAACAUCCUUAGAACCCAUGCGGAUAUAGUUUCCAUAUAAUUCAUCUCCUUAACCAAAAUGCUCAUAGGAUACCUCAGAGUUCAACUGUCAACUCUGAUCAGGUUGUCCACAUUAUAUUUUAAAAUAUCAAAUCCAUCUGAUGGA